rnacentral:rRNA from 1 species
GGGUUGUGAGGUUAAGCGAAUAAGCGUACACGGUGGAUGCCUAGGCAAUCAGAGGCGAUGAAGGACGUGCUAAUCUGCGAAAAGCGUCGGUAAGGUGAUAUGAACCGUUAUACCCGACGAUAUCCGAAUGGGGAAACCCAGUAUCCAAUGGAUACUAUCAUUAACUGAAUCCAUAGGUUAAUGAGGCGAACCGGGAGAACUGAAACAUCUCAGUACCCCGAGGAAAAGAAAUCAACCGAGAUUCCCCUAGUAGCGGCGAGCGAACGGGGAGCAGCCCAGAGUCUUAAUCAAUAGCAGUGUCAGGAGAACGGUCUGGAAAGUCCGGCAGUAAAGGGUGAUAGCCCCGUAUCUGAAGAUGCUGUUGUUGUGAACUCGACGAGUAGGGCGGGACACGUGUUAUCCUGUCUGAAUAUGGGGGGACCAUCCUCCAAGGCUAAAUACUCCUGAUUGACCGAUAGUGAACCAGUACCGUGAGGGAAAGGCGAAAAGAACCCCGGCGAGGGGAGUGAAAAAGAACCUGAAACCGUGUACGUACAAGCAGUAGGAGCCUCUUUAUGGGGUGACUGCGUACCUUUUGUAUAAUGGGUCAGCGACUUAUAUUCUGUAGCAAGGUUAACCGCAUAGGGGAGCCGUAGGGAAACCGAGUCUUAACUGGGCGAAUGAGUUGCAGGGUAUAGACCCGAAACCCGGUGAUCUAUCCAUGGGCAGGUUGAAGGUUGGGUAACACUAACUGGAGGACCGAACCGACUAAUGUUGAAAAAUUAGCGGAUGACUUGUGGAUGGGGGUGAAAGGCCAAUCAAACCGGGAGAUAGCUGGUUCUCCCCGAAAGCUAUUUAGGUAGCGCCUCGUGAACUCAUCUUCGGGGGUAGAGCACUGUUUCGACUAGGGGGUCAUCCCGACUUACCAACUCGAUGCAAACUGCGAAUACCGAAGAAUGUUAUCACGGGAGACACACGGCGGGUGCUAACGUCCGUCGUGAAGAGGGAAACAACCCAGACCGCCAGCUAAGGUCCCAAAGUCAUGGUUAAGUGGGAAACGAAGUGGGAAGGCUCAGACAGCCAGGAUGUUGGCUUAGAAGCAGCCAUCAUUUAAAGAAAGCGUAAUAGCUCACUGGUCGAGUCGGCCCGCGCGGAAGAUGUAACGGGGCUAAACCAUGCACCGAAGCUGCGGCAGCGACACAAAGUGUUGUUGGGUAGGGGAGCGUUCUGUAAGCCUGCGAAGGUGUACUGUGAGGUAUGCUGGAGGUAUCAGAAGUGCGAAUGCUGACAUAAGUAACGAUAAUGCGGGUGAAAAACCCGCACGCCGGAAGACCAAGGGUUCCUGUCCAACGUUAAUCGGGGCAGGGUGAGUCGACCCCUAAGGCGAGGCUGAAAAGCGUAGUCGAUGGGAAACGGGUUAAUAUUCCCGUACUGGUGGUAACUGCGAUGGGGGAACGGAGAAGGCUAGGUUGUCCGGGCGACGGUCGUCCCGGUUCAAGCAGGUAGGCAGAGUGAUUAGGCAAAUCCGGUCACUUAAUGCUGAGAUGUGAUGACGAACCACCAAGGUGGUGAAGCAAUUGAUGCCCCGCUUCCAGGAAAAGCCUCUAAGCUUCAGGUUACCAACAAUCGUACCCCAAACCGACACAGGUGGUCAGGUAGAGAAUACUCAGGCGCUUGAGAGAACUCGGGUGAAGGAACUAGGCAAAAUGGUGCCGUAACUUCGGGAGAAGGCACGCUGGCGGUAGGUAAAGUCCCUUGCGGACGGCGCCCAAGCCAGUCGAAGAUACCAGCUGGCUGCAACUGUUUAUUAAAAACACAGCACUGUGCAAACACGAAAGUGGACGUAUACGGUGUGACGCCUGCCCGGUGCUGGAAGGUUAAUUGAUGGGGUCAGCCGUAAGGCGAAGCUCCUGAUCGAAGCCCCAGUAAACGGCGGCCGUAACUAUAACGGUCCUAAGGUAGCGAAAUUCCUUGUCGGGUAAGUUCCGACCUGCACGAAUGGCGUAAUGAUGGCCAGGCUGUCUCCACCCGAGACUCAGUGAAAUUGAACUCGCUGUGAAGAUGCAGUGUACCCGCGGCAAGACGGAAAGACCCCGUGAACCUUUACUAUAGCUUGACACUGAACAUUGAGCCUUGAUGUGUAGGAUAGGUGGGAGGCUUUGAAGUGUGGACGCCAGUCUGCAUGGAGCCAACCUUGAAAUACCACCCUUUAACGUUUGAUGUUCUAACCUAGGCCCAUAAACUGGGUCGGGGACCGUGUCUGGUGGGUAGUUUGACUGGGGCGGUCUCCUCCUAAAGAGUAACGGAGGAGCACGAAGGUUGGCUAAGCAUGGUCGGACAUCAUGCGGUUAGUGCAAAGGCAUAAGCCAGCUUGACUGCGAGAGUGACGGCUCGAGCAGGUACGAAAGUAGGUCUUAGUGAUCCGGUGGUUCUGAAUGGAAGGGCCAUCGCUCAACGGAUAAAAGGUACUCCGGGGAUAACAGGCUGAUACCGCCCAAGAGUUCAUAUCGACGGCGGUGUUUGGCACCUCGAUGUCGGCUCAUCACAUCCUGGGGCUGAAGUAGGUCCCAAGGGUAUGGCUGUUCGCCAUUUAAAGUGGUACGCGAGCUGGGUUUAGAACGUCGUGAGACAGUUCGGUCCCUAUCUGCCGUGGGCGUUGGAAGAUUGAGAGGGGUUGCUCCUAGUACGAGAGGACCGGAGUGAACGCACCACUGGUGUUCGGGUUGUCAUGCCAAUGGCAUUGCCCGGUAGCUAAGUGCGGAAGAGAUAACCGCUGAAAGCAUCUAAGCGGGAAACUUGCCUCGAGAUGAGUCUUCCCUGUCACUUUAAGUGACCUAAAGGAACGUUUAAGACUAAGACGUUGAUAGGCUGGGUGUGUAAGCGUAGCGAUACGUUGAGCUAACCAGUACUAAUGAACCGUGAGGCUUAACCUGACAACACCGAAAGUGUUUUG